AUUUGCCACACAUAUUUUUAAAACUCAUCCAAUGAAACCCUAAUUUCUUUCCCUGUAAACUCAAUACACUCCCCUGUCUAUCCACAGAGCCACCACCACCUACUCCACUCUUCUCUGGUCUUCGCGGUCCCGUCACCGUCUAGCCCAACACUCGCUGCCGAUCUUCGCCCAUUUUCCGGCGUCAUUCUUAGCCUCUCUCUUCCCGUCGUUCAUUCGCAGUAAAAAGAACAGAUAAAGGAGCAGAUGAAGUUUUAUCUGUCUUUAUGUCAAAUGUUUCCAUUUUCCAUGUUAUUUGUUCUUGGAACUUGGAAGUGUUCAUUUAUGAUGACAACUUGAAUGCCUUUCAUAUUUGAUUGUCACACAACAUUGCAAAUGUUAACUUGAUGCACUCUUUAUGUUCAUUGGCAUGACAUGAAUCUGAUGUGUUUGAUUCGUUAAGAAAUACACUCCAGAAAGCCCUGCUGAUGCUACCAGAAACUUGUCUCAACAGAAUCUCAACUUCUAAGAACUUCUAUUGAAGGAGUUGAGCUAAAGCCAUGAAUAAAGAGCUAGAAGAUGCAAAAUAUGAAUUGACCGUUUCAAAGCAUUGCUGCAACGACUAGAGUUAGCAUAGAAGCUGGAUCAACAUUCGGUUGGCAGAAGAUUGUUGGCAGACAGGGGAAAGCCAUAGGCAUUGACCGUUUCAAAGCAAGUGUUCCAGCAGGGAAAAUAUACAAAGAGUUUGGUAUCACCAAGGAAGCUGUUGGCCUGUUGCUACUGCAAAAGAACUUUCAUAAAUUCUCUGAGUUUUUUUUUAUUUUUGUUUCUUCUUAUUCAGAACUUUUAAGUUUCAAUAGUGGUAUGGAUUUCAAUUAUGAAUCUGUUUCUUGAGAAAUAACUUUAGCCACAAUAACAAAGAUUAGAUUACUCUUGAAAAUGGUUCUCAGAGGAGAGACAUAGACUGAAGGAUGAAUGGAAUCAACGCUUGAGUUUUUUUCGCUGUGAUGUAACACUUAUUCAUGUAUAAUGCAAUUAAUUUAGCCUUUGGAUUGGUA